rnacentral:lncRNA from 7 species
GUCUUGACCAAGCUCAGGUUGUAGGAGGGCCAGUUUUUCAGCCGUCAGAUCCUCUUCUCUGAAGAGAGUAUCACUGAGGAACAGCUUGAGAUAAGCACUGUGAACCAAAAGAGAGAUCCCGAUGGCUGUCAGAUCAGAAGAUACCAGCUGAUUACAGAUCUCUGAUCCUUAGAAGAAAAUGGGAAAUCUGAAGUCUUCCAUAUUUCAAUCCUUCAUGACCAAGGGCUCCGUAAGGAUUUUACCCAUUGAAUCUCUCUGGCUGCUGGGGGCCAUUCAGUGCUGCGUUGUUGAACCUGCAGGAGGAGACCAACUGACCUCUUUGCUCAUCAGGCAGGGUUAGGAGAGAGCAGAUCCUCUGCUCUUUCCUUCCUUCCAGAUGAGUUGAUGACACUGAUUAGGGUACAGACUGUGCCACUCAUCUCAGUUCACUUCUGGGAGCAUCAGACUGGAUAGCUGGGGGAAUGACCUGGGCGUUGUUUGAGUGUUGGCACAUUCAUCCUGCCUGGGAAGUUCCCGUUUGACCCACCUGUCUCAGCCAGGCACAGCUAUAGUUAGAAGCAAAGAUUUCAUGCAGUCUUGUGUGUAAAUAAUAAUGCCAGCCAGGCCCAAUCUCCCUCACAUUAUGUAUUUUCUUAGGAUAAAUCUAUUUACUAGCUGCAGUGUGAUGCGUGCUAUUGGUUAUCUAAUAAAGCAUUGCUGGCUUUACAUAGAAAUGUGCUUAUGCCAUCAAAUCAACAGAACAGGGAAGCACAAGGCAGUCAUGCUGUACGUGAGUCUUGCUUGCUUGUUUGCUCUCUGUCACACGUUUUCUGCAAAGAUUUUAAGGAAAUAAUUGUGGAGAGUUACGUUACGUAUCCAACUGCUAGCUUUCAAAAAGCAAAAAUGCCGUCCAAGUCAUGAGAUUGUCUUAAAGGCCAUAACCUUAAAACAGAUGAGAGUACUUUCAAAACUUGUUUGCUUUGUACACUGAGCCACUGGACUGUUCUUACCUACUAUCUUUCAAAGUGCAAUUGUGACAGUGAGGAAUGCAUUAUUAAGAGAAUGGAAAGCCUGAAAACAGCGCCCUGAAAAUCCAUUUUGUGAUUUCAGAAGCUUCUAAUUUGCUAGUAAAACGUAUAAUAAACC